rnacentral:rRNA from 1 species
GAUGAACGCUGGCGGCGUGCCUAACACAUGCAAGUCGAGCGGACAGACGUGUAGCUUGUUCCUCUCACGUUAGCGGCGCACGGGUGAGUAACACGUGGAGAACCUACCUAUCAGACUGGGAUAACUUCUGGACACCGGGCCUAAUACCAGAUAAUAUAAUGAACCGCAGGGUUCACUAGUGACAGACUGUCUUGCUGUUACGUAUAUAUGGUUCCGCGCCGCUUUAGCGAGUUGGUAAGGUAACGGCUUACCAAGGCAACGAUGCGUAGCCGACCUGAGAGAGUGAUCGGACACGCUGGGAGUGAGACACGGUCCAGACUGCUACGGGAGGCAGGAGUAGGGUACCUUGCGCAAUGGCAGUAAGCCUGACGGAGCAACGCCGCGUGGGUGAUGGAGGUCAUCGGGUCGUAAAGCACUGUUAUUAGGGAAGAACAACUGUGUAACUAAGAGUGGACGUAUUGACGGUACCUAGUCAAAAAGCAACGGCUAACUACGUG